rnacentral:rRNA from 1 species
CACGUAGGGGGCAAGCGUUGUCCGGAUUUAUUGGGCGUAAAGAGCUCGUAGGCGGCUUAGUAAGUCGGGUGUGAAACCUCCAGGCUCAACCUGGAGACGCCACCCGAUACGGCUGUGGCUAGAGUCCGGUAGGGGAGCGUGGAAUUCCUGGUGUAGCGGUGAAAUGCGCAGAUAUCAGGAGGAACACCAGCGGCGAAGGCGGCGCUCUGGGCCGGUACUGACGCUGAGGAGCGAAAGCGUGGGGAGCAAACAGG